UGGAGAAGUCUGACGGAGCAACGCCGCGUGAGUGAUAAGGUUUCGGAUCGUAAAGCUCUGUGUUAGGGAAGAACAAGUGCAAGAGUAACUGCUUGCACCUUGACGGUACCUAACCAGAAAGCCACGGCUAACUACGUGCCAGCAGCCGCGGUAAUACGUAGGUGGCAAGCGUUGUCCGGAAUUAUUGGGCGUAAAGGGCUCGCAGGCGGUUUCUUAAGUCUGAUGUGAAAGCCCCCGGCUCAACCGGGGAGGGUCAUUGGAAACUGGGAAACUUGAGUGCAGAAGAGGAGAGUGGAAUUCCACGUGUAGCCGGUGAAAUGCGUAGAGAUGUGGAGGAACACCAGUGGCGAAGGCGACUCUCUGGUCUGUAACUGACGCUGAGGAGCGAAAGCGUGGGGAGCGAACAGGAUUAGAUACCCUGGUAGUCCACGCCGUAAACGAUGAGUGCUAAGUGUUAGGGGGUUUCCGCCCCUUAGUGCUGCAGCUAACGCAUUAAGCACUCCGCCUGGGGAGUACGGUCGCAAGACUGAAACUCAAAGGAAUUGACGGGGGCCCGCACAAGCGGUGGAGCAUGUGGUUUAAUUCGAAGCAACGCGAAGAACCUUACCAGGUCUUGACAUCCUCUGACAACCCUAGAGAUAGGGCUUUCCCUUCGGGGACAGAGUGACAGGUGGUGCAUGG
rnacentral:rRNA from 1 species